UACGGAGGGGGCUAGCGUUAUUCGGAAUUACUGGGCGUAAAGCGCACGUAGGCGGAUUAACAAGUCAGAGGUGAAAUCCCAGGGCUCAACCUUGGAACUGCCUUUGAAACUGUUAGUCUUGAGGUCGUGAGAGGUGAGUGGAAUUCCGAGUGUAGAGGUGAAAUUCGUAGAUAUUCGGAGGAACACCAGUGGCGAAGGCGGCUCACUGGCACGAUACUGACGCUGAGGUGCGAAAGCGUGGGGAGCAAACAGG
rnacentral:rRNA from 1 species